CUUUACUGCAGCUUCGCCUUGGCGUUAGCGACAACAUGUGUAGGAUAGGUGGGAGGCUAUGAAACCGGGGCGCCAGCUCUGGUGGAGCCAACCUUGAAAUACCACCCUUGUUGUCGCUGACGUCUAACCGCGGUCCGUCAUCCGGAUCCGGGACAUGGCGUGGCGGGCAGUUUGACUGGGGCGGUCGCCUCCCAAAGUGUAACGGAGGCGCGCGAUGGUGGGCUCAGAGCGGUCGGAAAUCGCUCGACGAGUGCAAUGGCAUAAGCCCGCCUGACUGCGAGACUGACAAGUCGAGCAGAGACGAAAGUCGGCCAUAGUGAUCCGGUGGUUCUGCGUGGAAGGGCCAUCGCUCAACGAAUAAAAGGUA
rnacentral:rRNA from 1 species